AGCGCAGGUGGUUGUAUAAGUCUGAAGUAAAAGGCAGUGGCUCGACCAUUGUGUGCUUUGGAAACUGUACAACUUGAGUGCAGAAGGGGAGAGUGGAAUUCCAUGCGUAGCGGUGAAAUGCGUAGAUAUAUGGAGGAACACCGGUGGCGAAAGCGGCUCUCUGGUCUGUAACUGACACUGAGGCUCGAAAGCGUGGGGAGCAAACA
rnacentral:rRNA from 1 species